GCCGGAAUAGCUCAGUUGGGAGAGCGUUAGACUGAAGUUGGUUACGCAACAGUGAUCUAAAGGCCCCCGGUUCAAUCCCGGGUUCCGGUA
rnacentral:tRNA from 1 species